GUGCUCACUUUGGCAGCACAUAUAUUAAAAUUGGAACAAUACAGAGAAGAUUAGCAUGGUCCCUGUGCAAGGAUAACAUGCAAAUUAGUGAAACGUUCCAUAUUUUU